rnacentral:rRNA from 1 species
ACUCCUGCGGGAGGCAGCAGUGGGGAAUUUUGGACAAUGGGCGAAAGCCUGAUCCAGCAAUGCCGCGUGAGUGAAGAAGGCCUUCGGGUUGUAAAGCUCUUUUGUCAGGGAAGAAACGGUGAAAGCUAAUAUCUUUUGCUAAUGACGGUACCUGAAGAAUAAGCACCGGCUAACUACGUGCCAGCAGCCGCGGUAAUACGUAGGGUGCAAGCGUUAAUCGGAAUUACUGGGCGUAAAGCGUGCGCAGGCGGUUUUGUAAGUCUGAUGUGAAAUCCCCGGGCUCAACCUGGGAAUUGCAUUGGAGACUGCAAGGCUAGAAUCUGGCAGAGGGGGGUAGAAUUCCACGUGUAGCAGUGAAAUGCGUAGAUAUGUGGAGGAACACCGAUGGCGAAGGCAGCCCCCUGGGUCAAGAUUGACGCUCAUGCACGAAAGCGUGGGGAGCAAACAGGAUUAGAAACCCUUGUAGUCCCAUG